rnacentral:rRNA from 1 species
AGAACGAACGCUGGCGGCAUGCCUAAUACAUGCAAGUCGAACGAACACUUCGGUGUUAGUGGCGCACGGGUGCGUAACGCGUGGGAAUCUGCCCUUGGGUUCGGAAUAACAGUUGGAAACGACUGCUAAUACCGGAUGAUAUCGAAAGAUCAAAGAUUUAUCGCCCAGGGAUGAGCCCGCGUAGGAUUAGCUAGUUGGUGAGGUAAAGGCUCACCAAGGCGACGAUCCUUAGCUGGUCUGAGAGGAUGAUCAGCCACACUGGGACUGAGACACGGCCCAGACUCCUACGGGAGCAGCAGUAGGGAAUAUUGGACAAGUGGGCGCAAGCCUGAUCCAGCAAUCGCCGCGUGAGUGAUGAAGGCCGUUAGGGUGUAAAGCUUCUUUACCGA